CAGAUUCACUGUGAUGAAAUGCAGAGGUAUUGGAUAAUCAGCGUGUAUCAAACAGCUUUGGAUUGUUUUACCUGCAUUCUGCCUGUUCCUUCCGCCUGUUUAUUUAUAACAUGUCUGCACUUCUGUGGGAUUCCAUGAAAAAAGUCAUAGUAGCAACAAAGAUUUCACUGGUCCCCCCAGUGUGCACCAAACUGCCCCUGGCUUGGAGUGCAGGAUGAACACCUUCCUGCAGUGCAGACAGCCCUGUCCUUGCAGAGUAUGGACUAGGGACAGAUUGCAGCUUUUUGGUGUAACCCUCACGAAGCUGAACUUUCCAGCAUUGAAACCAAGAGCCAAAGAAGCCCAGCAGAGGAAAGGAGGAGAAGAACACAUGAAAGGCUGUAAGGUUGAUUCUACCACUGAUGGUCUGUUUUUCUCUACCUGGACACCCAGGAAAAGACAGCCCUGCAUCACUUCAGA
rnacentral:lncRNA from 1 species